rnacentral:rRNA from 1 species
AGAGGUUGAUCCUGGCUCAGCUUGAACGCUGGCGGCGUGGUUAAGACAUGCAAGUCGUACGGGUGUAGCAAUACACCAGUGGCGAACGGGUGAGUAAUGUAUCGCUAACGUGCCCCGAAGUCUGGGAUAGCUGCCCGAAAGGGCAGGUAAUACCAGAUGAGACCACGGCAGGGCAUCCUGCUGUGCUCAAAGCCGCAAGGCGCUUUGGGAGCGGGCGAUAUCGUAUCAGCUAGUUGGUGAGGUAACGGCUUACCAAGGCGAUGACGCGUAGCCGGACUGAGAGGUCGACCGGCCACAUCGGGACUGAGACACUGCCCGGACUCCUACGGGGGGCUGCAGUAACGAAUCUUGGGCAAUGCGCGAAAGCGUGACCCAGCGACGCCGCGUGCGGGAUGAAGUCCUUCGGGAUGUAAACCGYUGUCAGGGGUUACCAAGUUGAGGAACCCCAGAGGAAGUGGCGGCUAACUCUGUGCCAGCAGCCGUGGUAAGACAGAGGCCACAAGCGUUAGGCGGAAUCACUGGGCUUAAAGCGUGUGUAGGCGGAUCGUUAAGUGCCUUGUGAAAUCCCACGGCUCACCCGUGGAACUGCUGGGCAUACUGGCGAUCUUGAGCCAUCUAGGGGCGACUGGAACAGACGGUGGAGCGGUGAAAUGCGUAGAUAUCGUCUGGAACGCCAAGGGUGAAAACAGGUCGCUGGGGAUGUGCUGACGCUGAGACACGAAAGCCAGGGGAGCAAACGGGAUUAGAUACCCCGGUAGUCCUGGCCCUAAACGAUGUCCACUAGAUCGCAGCAGCUCUGAUUGUUGCGGUCGAAGCCAAAGUGCUAAGUGGACCGCCUGGGAAGUACGGUCGCAAGGCUAAA